UUAUUCUGAAUCUGGUAACAGACUUGACUCAUGUGCCUUUCCAAGUACUACUGAGGUCUUACACUUAGACUCUGUUGACCAAAUCAAAUCACAAGCCCGGCCCAGAUUCAAGACAUGGAGAAACAGAUUCCACCACUUCAUGGGAAGAUCUGCAAAUUCACAUCGCAAAGGGCAUAGAUACGAACGAAGCCAAUGAUUGGGGCCAUCAGUACAUUCGGUCCACCAGAAGAUGCCAUCAUCAAAUAGAUAAGAAAUGCUCAUAUAACAUGACCUGUUAUAGAGUCAGACACUGCAAGACAUUGUAAGAGAUUAGCCAUAUUCACUGUACAAAGCUUCUCGGAAGCAAUGGAAAGGAGCAUCUCACCUGGAGCAGGGUCCUGCGAUGGUAUACCAUGGUUUGUUGAUGAUUGAUGGAAAAGUUAAGGAAGGUUGGAGAACAGCUUACAGACCUGCAGUGACUAUUGUAGAAAGCCAGGACAUGGACCAGGACUGAGGAAGCCUCAAAGCUAGAUGCACCCAUAUGCAACUUUUUUGAGGGUGACUUCUGCUGAGUUAAGCAGCUUGGGGGACAGUUAUAACAAUGCACGAGCCAAAGAUUCCAUCUUAGGAAUUCCCUUGUCCUUGUCCUUGAUCUGUACACCUUGUCCUCCACCUUUACCUGUUCUAUUCAGAUAAGAAUAUGAAUGUUGAGUUUUAAGUGGGUUUAAAAUUUUCCACGUGAUGGGAAGAAAAAUUACAAGCAUAAUAAUUAAACUGCAUUCUAGGAGAACAA